GCUAAGCACGCUGUUGAUCCUUCGGGUGAAGUGAGGCAAUAGACUAGAGUGGCGAACUGGUGAGUAACACGUAAGAAACCUGCCCUUUAGUGGGGGAUAACAUUUGGAAACAGAUGCUAAUACCGCGUAACAACAAAUCACACAUGUGAUCUGUUUGAAAGGUCCUUUUGGAUCGCUAGAGGAUGGUCUUGCGGCGUAUUAGCUUGUUGGUAGGGUAGAAGCCUACCAAGGCAAUGAUGCGUAGCCGAGUUGAGAGACUGGCCGGCCACAUUGGGACUGAGACACUGCCCAAACUCCUACGGGAGGCUGCAGUAGGGAAUUUUCCGCAAUGCACGAAAGUGUGACGGAGCGACGCCGCGUGUGUGAUGAAGGCUUUCGGGUCGUAAAGCACUGUUGUAAGGGAAGAAUAACUGAAUUCAGAGAAAGUUUUCAGCUUGACGGUACCUUACCAGAAAGGGAUGGCUAAAUACGUGCCAGCAGCCGCGGUAAUACGUAUGUCCCGAGCGUUAUCCGGAUUUAUUGGGCGUAAAGCGAGCGCAGACGGUUUAUUAAGUCUGAUGUGAAAUCCCGAGGCCCAACCUCGGAACUGCAUUGGAAACUGAUUUACUUGAGUGCGAUAGAGGCAAGUGGAACUCCAUGUGUAGCGGUGAAAUGCGUAGAUAUGUGGAAGAACACCAGUGGCGAAAGCGGCUUGCUAGAUCGUAACUGACGUUGAGGCUCGAAAGUAUGGGUAGCAAACGGGAUUAGAUACCCCGGUAGUCCAUACCGUAAACGAUGGGUGCUAGUUGUUAAGAGGUUUCCGCCUCCUAGUGACGUAGCAAACGCAUUAAGCACCCCGCCUGAGGAGUACGGCCGCAAGGCUAAAACUUAAAGGAAUUGACGGGGACCCGCACAAGCGGUGGAGCAUGUGGUUUAAUUCGAAGAUACGCGAAAAACCUUACCAGGUCUUGACAUACCAAUGAUCGCUUUUGUAAUGAAAGCUUUUCUUCGGAACAUUGGAUACAGGUGGUGCAGGGUCGUCCUCACCUCUUGUCUUGGAAAUGUUUGGGUUAAGUCCCGCAACCAACCGCAACCCUUUGUUAUUAAUUUGCCAGCAUUUUAGUUUGGGCAUUCUUAAUGGGAACUGGCCGGGGGAUAA
rnacentral:rRNA from 1 species